rnacentral:rRNA from 1 species
UACGUAGGCAGCAAGCGUUGUUCGGAGUUACUGGGCGUAAAGAGUGCGUAGGUGGUGCCCUAAGUCUGUUGUGAAAUCUCCCGGCUUAACUGGGAGGGUGCGGGUGGAAACUGGGGUGCUUGAGUGUGGGAGAGGUAAGCGGAAUUCCUGGUGUAGCGGUGAAAUGCGUAGAUAUCAGGAGGAACACCGGUGGUGUAGACGGCUUACGUGGACCACGACUGACACUGAGGCACGAAAGCGUGGGUAGCAAACAGG